CACGAACUUAGUACUUUAGAGGCUGAAACUCAGCUGGCUUACCAACCCCCACCCGACCUAUUUCCUUCGAAUAAACAAAUAUAUAACUAACGAGGGAAGUGAUAUUGUUCACCUCAUCCAUUAAGUGGGAUUGCUGAGAAGUGGCCACCUGCUUGGCCAAAUUUACACAUCACGGAGUGAGCAAGAACCACAAAGGCCGUCGACUGACUAUCCCCUCCAUGUUUUUUCCGUUUCUGGGGCCUGCUUUUGGAGGCUAGCCAACUUCCAGCAAUCAGGACUCACUGGCUCCACGGACCACCAUUCGGGUCUCCAAACUCCUGGCUUGAGGGAUAGUAGAGAGCAGUCUUCAGCCUGAGACUCACCCCAGGCACAGUGGCUCACGCCUGUAAUCCCAGCACUUUGGAGGCUGAGGCGGGAAGACUGCUUGAGCCCAGGAGUUCAAGACCAGCCUCAGUGAUGUGGUGAG
rnacentral:lncRNA from 13 species